CCUACGGGCGGCAGCAGUGAGGAAUAUUGGUCAAUGGCCGGGAGGCUGAACCAGCCAAGUCGCGUGAGGGAAGACGGCCCUACGGGUUGUAAACCUCUUUUGUCAGGGAGCAAGGUGCAGGUCGGGACCUGCUGUGAGAGUACCUGAAGAAAAAGCAUCGGCUAACUCCGUGCCAGCAGCCGCGGUAAUACGGAGGAUGCGAGCGUUAUCCGGAUUUAUUGGGUUUAAAGGGUGCGAAGGCGGAGGCACAAGUCAGCGGUAAAAUCGCGGGGCUCAACCCCGCCCCGCCGUUGAAACUGUGUGCCUUGAGUGCGCGAAGGGUAGGCGGAAUGCGUGGUGUAGCGGUGAAAUGCAGAGAUAUCACGAAGAACUCCGAUCGCGAAGGCAGCCUACCGGCGCGCAACUGACGCGCAUGCACGAAAGCGUGGGUAUCGAACAGGAUUAGAUACCCUAGUAGUC
rnacentral:rRNA from 1 species